rnacentral:piRNA from 1 species
GGGGAAUUCCGUGUAGACAAAGCU